rnacentral:rRNA from 1 species
AACACGUGGAUAAUCUACCCGACAGUCAGGGAUAACAUUUCGAAAGGAAUGCUAAUACCUGAUAAGCCUACGCCCUCUUCGGAGGAAGUAGGAAAAGGUGGGGACCUUCGGGCCUGCCGUUGUUGGAUGAGUCCGCGGCCCAUUAGCUAGUCGGUAGGGUAAUGGCCUACCAAGGCUACGAUGGGUAGCUGGUCUGAGAGGAUGAUCAGCCACACUGGAACUGAGACACGGUCCAG